UGUAUCUGAAGCCUGACGAGGAUGAGAACCUCCGGGGGCAAGAGGUUCGACUCGAGCGCAGCGAGAGAACGUUGCGUCAGCAACGGCCCGCAGGGCGAGCCACGCAGUGGCGAGUCAUCCUCUAUCACCGACCA
rnacentral:sRNA from 37 species